AUUGAACGCUGGCGGCAUGCUUUACACAUGCAAGUCGAACGGCAGCGCGGGGCAACCUGGCGGCGAGUGGCGAACGGGUGAGUAAUACAUCGGAACGUACCCAGAAGUGGGGGAUAACGUAGCGAAAGUUACGCUAAUACCGCAUACGUUCUACGGAAGAAAGUGGGGGACCUUCGGGCCUCAUGCUUUUGGAGCGGCCGAUGUCUGAUUAGCUAGUUGGUGAGGUAAAGGCUCACCAAGGCGACGAUCAGUAGCUGGUCUGAGAGGACGACCAGCCACACUGGGACUGAGACACGGCCCAGACUCCUACGGGAGGCAGCAGUGGGGAAUUUUGGACAAUGGGCGCAAGCCUGAUCCAGCAAUGCCGCGUGAGUGAAGAAGGCCUUCGGGUUGUAAAGCUCUUUUGUCAGGGAAGAAACGGCUGAGGUUAAUGCCUUCGGCUAAUGACGGUACCUGAAGAAUAAGCACCGGCUAACUACGUGCCAGCAGCCGCCGUAAAAC
rnacentral:rRNA from 1 species